GACGAACGCUGACGGCGUGCUUAACACAUGCAAGUCGAAGGGAGUGGCGAACGGGUGAGUAACACGUGAGUAACCUGCCCUUUUCUUUGGGAUAAGCCUGGGAAACUGGGUCUAAUACGGGAUGGAUUGGGAUGGGCUCGGGGCUUAUCAGCUUGUUGGUGGGGUGAUGGCUUACCAAGGCUUUGUCGGGUAGCCGGCCUGAGAGGGUGGGCGGGAACGUUGGGACGGGGAUGCGGCCCAGACUCCUACGGGAGGGAGCAGUGGGGAUAUUGCACAAUGGACGAAAGUCGGCUGCAGCGACGUCGUGUGGGGGAUGAAGGCCUGCGGGUUGUAAACUCCGUUGGCCAGCGGAAUGGUAGUGGGUAAAGAAGCGCCGGCUAACUACGUGCCAGCAGCCGCGGUAAUUC
rnacentral:rRNA from 1 species